UGGGGAAUUUUGGACAAUGGGCGAAAGCCUGAUCCAGCAAUGCCGCGUGUGUGAAGAAGGCCUUCGGGUUGUAAAGCACUUUUGUCCGGAAAGAAAUCCUUGGCUCUAAUACAGUCGGGGGAUGACGGUACCGGAAGAAUAAGCACCGGCUAACUACGUGCCAGCAGCCGCGGUAAUACGUAGGGUGCAAGCGUUAAUCGGAAUUACUGGGCGUAAAGCGUGCGCAGGCGGUUUGCUAAGACCGAUGUGAAAUCCCCGGGCUCAACCUGGGAACUGCAUUGGUGACUGGCAGGCUAGAGUAUGGCAGAGGGGGGUAGAAUUCCACGUGUAGCAGUGAAAUGCGUAGAGAUGUGGAGGAAUACCGAUGGCGAAGGCAGCCCCCCUGGGCCAAAUACUGACGCUCAUGCACGAAAGCGUGGGGAGCAAAACAGGAUUAGAUACCCUGGUAGUCCACGCCCUAAAACGAUGUCAACUAGUUGUUGGGGAUUCAUUUCCUUAGUAACGUAGCUAACGCGUGAAGUUGACCGCCUGGGGAGUACGGUCGCAAGAUUAAAACUCAAAUGAAUUGACGGGGUCAUAGCUGUUUCC
rnacentral:rRNA from 1 species